UACGAAGGGGGCUAGCGUUGCUCGGAAUCACUGGGCGUAAAGCGCACGUAGGCGGAUCUUUAAGUCAGGGGUGAAAUCCCAAGGCUCAACCUUGGAACUGCCUUUGAUACUGGGGAUCUCGAGUCCGGAAGAGGUUGGUGGAACUGCGAGUGUAGAGGUGAAAUUCGUAGAUAUUCGCAAGAACACCGGUGGCGAAGGCGGCGACCUGGGUAGAUACUGACGCUGAGGCGCGAAAGCGUGGGGAGCAAACAGG
rnacentral:rRNA from 1 species